rnacentral:sRNA from 1 species
UCAAUUUCACAGGAGAAUGAAGUCCCAUUUAUUUGCAGAACUGGUAACAAGCUUUGCGUAGAUCACUGGAGGGACCUUCUCCUUUAAGAGUGAGAGGGGAGUUCAGUCUCCAUAGCCCAAUUCAGUCCUUCAUCUU